rnacentral:rRNA from 1 species
CCUGUAGCCGUCCGCGCUUAAUUGCGCGUACUGUGUUACGGAACUUUUACUUUGAGAAAAAUAGAGUGUUUCAAGCAGGCUUGUCGCCCUGAAUACUUCAGCAUGGAAUAAUAGGAUAGGACCUUGGUUCUAUUUUGUUGGUUUCUAGGACCAAGGUAAUGAUUAAUAGGGACAGUUGGGGGCAUUCGUAUUUAACUGUCAGAGGUGAAAUUCUUAGAUUUGUUAAAGACGAACUACUGCGAAAGCAUUUGCCAAGGAUGUUUUCAUUAAUCAAGAACGACAGUAGGGGGUUUGAAGACGAUUAGAUACCGUCGUAAUCUCUACCAUAAACUAUGCCGACUAGAGAUAG